rfam:Aminobacter sp. Root100 contig_14, whole genome shotgun sequence.
UGUCAAGAGUCAUGGCACCGAAACGGUGAGCAGAUUUCUUUUGCCUGAUUGAAAGGCGAAGGAACUAUG